GGUCUUAAUUGAAGCCCCAGUGAACGGCGGCCGUAACUAUAACGGUCCUAAGGUAGCGAAAUUCCUUGUCGGGUAAGUUCCGACCCGCAUGAAAGGCGUAAUGAUUUGGGCGCUGUCUCAACAAUAGACUCGGUGAAAUUUAAAUUCCAGUGAAGAUGCUGGGUACCCGCGACAGGACGGAAAGACCCCGUGGAGCUUUACUGUAGCUUGAUAUUGAAUGUUUGUGCUGCAUGUGCAGGAUAGGUAGGAGACUUUGAAGUCGGAACGCUAGUUUCGAUUGAGUCACCCUUGAGAUACUACCUCUGUUGUAUGAACGUUCUAACUCUGAUCAGUUAUCCUGAUCGAAGACAGUGUCUGGCAGGCAGUUUGACUGGGGCGGUCGCCUCCUAAAAGAUAACGGAGGCGCUCAAAGGUUUGCUCAGAAUGGUUGGAAAUCAUUCGUAGCGUGUAAAGGCAUAAGCAAGCUUGACUGUGAGACUGACAAGUCGAGCAGGUACGAAAGUAGGACUUAGUGAUCCGGUGGUUCCGUAUGGAAGGGCCAUCGCUCAACGGACAAAAGCUACCCCGGGGAUAACAGGCUCAUCUCCCCCAAGAGUCCACAUCGACGGGGAGGUUUGGCACCUCGAUGUCGGCUCAUCGCAUCCUGGGGCUGUAGUCGGUCCCAAGGGUUGGGCUGUUCGCCCAUUAAAGCGGUACGCGAGCUGGGUUCAGAACGUCGUGAGACAGUUCGGUCCCUAUCCGUCGUGGGCGCAGGAAAUUUGAGAGGAUCUGUCCUUAGUACGAGAGGACCGGGAUGGACAUACCUCUGGUGUACCAGUUGUUCUGCCAAGAGCACCGCUGGGUAGCUACGUAUGGAUUAGAUAAUCGCUGAAAGCAUCUAAGUGAGAAACUAACCUCGAGAUGAGAUUUCCCAUUCGUCAGAAGUAAGACCCCUGAGAGACGAUCAGGUAGAUAGGCUAGAAGUGGAAGUGUAGUGAUGCAUGGAGCGGACUAGUACUAAUAGGUCGAGGACUUAACCAAG
rnacentral:rRNA from 1 species